GAUUCCAUAAAAUUAUACAACAAUACGUGGACAUAGACUCAUGUUACUAAAAUUAUACCAUAAAACGUGGACACAGACUAUGUUAUCUCCAAUACAAACACUUGGCUUCUUCAGUUCAAUUGAUAAAUUAUCUGCAAUUAAACUUCAAUCAAGAUGAGAAAUAAAUGAUAUUGUAAGUAUGAGCGGAGAGAAAAACCGAAGAAGCAUGUCAGAGAGUAAUAGAUCUUGCAUGUCAGAGAUUUUUGAUCUAAGCAUUUGCGCUUUGUCAUGAUGUGGAUGGAUGUAAUUUUGAUUAGAAUUGAAUUUAGAUUCCGAGAUGAUGAAUGGAAUCGAAGGAAUAUUGUCC
rnacentral:lncRNA from 1 species